CGGUCACCCGGGGCGGAUCAGCGCGCCCGGUAGGGAGCGCAGCUCCCGCAGUGAGUCCAGUGACGGAUUUCCGAACGCCCACGGGUGUGGUUGGGAAAGACCCGCCGUUUUCUAGGCAGAGAUCCCUCCAGGGCACGCCUGUGACCUUAAGCUAGUUGAUUUUGUCUGAUUCUCCAGAUGUCUGAUUGCCAGUGACCCGGGCUUCCUCUGUUGUCUUCGGAGUCUCUUGGGUGUCGACACAGCCUGGUUGCCUUUUACACAGCGACAAGUGAAAGAAAUGCAAUCAAAAGGGAUUAGAUGACCCGAGGCCAUGCUAAAUGUGCCAGUCAGUGAGAACCGGCCCAGGAAGCAGGACUUAGCUGGGAGAUGAGAGCUAAAAUUCAACUGUCCUGUUAGACCAUAGGAUGUGUAUGUGCAGGCUAUAAUCUCAGUGUUAUGAAGUUGCAUUUAUAUUUAGAGUUCUUAUGUUGGGUUUUGCAGGUUUUGAAACAAGAGUCCAAUUUGUUGAGAUGUCAAAAGCAACUAAAUUUAACAUAUCCUGGAUCCUAGAGAAAGUCAGAUGUUUUCCAUCCGGUGGAUAGGCUUCCUCAUUUUACAUUUUCGGUGUUUUCUUAGUCAUUCUUGAGUAUUCAUAUUUCAUCCAAACUUUACUAUCAAUUUGUGUCAUUUAGAAAUAGUAUCAUUUAACAAGGGGUUCGUUUGUUGAGGCACCUUUGUGGCUUUGAGAGAUUAGAUGGAUAGAUAAACAGCUUGGAACAGGAUCAAGGAAGGAUAUGAUAUAUUAUUAGCAGUAUUUGCUUGGCCUUAGUCUUGCAUGCCCUCUGAAAUCCUGUCAGAAUGCCACGUCGCCUGAGAAGCUGUAAGUGGCACCCACAGUGCUGUUGAUAGUGGCAGGUGUGCCUUCCUGGAGCAAGACUAACAACACGGGUGUGUUCUCUGGUUUUUAUACUUCCAGCGUGGAAAGCACCCAGUCUUAGGUGAAGAAUACAGAGCCUGUCCACAAUGGGGUUGCCCAGAAUCCUUUGACCUUUAUGUAUGCAAGUCCCUGGGGUUGAAGGAUUCUCUGAGGAAGAAAUCGGUGGCUACAGCAGUCAAUAAAGAGCAUAUUGUCCAAAA
rnacentral:lncRNA from 1 species